GAGUUACUGACUUGUUAAUGACUAGAAUAUGGCAAACAUUAUGGAAUAUCACAUACAACAUCUCAGAGGAACACAGCUUCAGAUAACAGUUUGAUUGCCAUUUCAUGAAAGACCCUGAGCCAGAGGCACCAAAGUAAGCUACAACCGGAAUUCUGAUCCACAGACACUGGGGGAUAAUAAAGGGCACUGAAUGAGCUGUAAAAGGUCAGAAGAAGCCAUCCUGAAGAAACAGCUAAAUAAGUCAUUAAAUUUCUUUAUAUAUCAUGAA
rnacentral:lncRNA from 1 species